CUGCGAAUACCGGAGAAUGUUAUCACGGGAGACACACGGCGGGUGCUAACGUCCGUCGUGAAGAGGGAAACAACCCAGACCGCCAGCUAAGGUCCCAAAGUCAUGGUUAAGUGGGAAACGAUGUGGGAAGGCCCAGACAGCCAGGAUGUUGGCUUAGAAGCAGCCAUCAUUUAAAGAAAGCGUAAUAGCUCACUGGUCGAGUCGGCCUGCGCGGAAGAUGUAACGGGGCUAAACCAUGCACCGAAGCUGCGGCAGCGACGCUUAUGCGUUGUUGGGUAGGGGAGCGUUCUGUAAGCCUGCGAAGGUGGCCUGUGAGGGCUGCUGGAGGUAUCAGAAGUGCGAAUGCUGACAUAAGUAACGAUAAAGCGGGUGAAAAGCCCGCUCGCCGGAAGACCAAGGGUUCCUGUCCAACGUUAAUCGGGGCAGGGUGAGUCGACCCCUAAGGCGAGGCCGAAAGGCGUAGUCGAUGGGAAACGGGUUAAUAUUCCCGUACUUGGUGUUACUGCGAAGGGGGGACGGAGAAGGCUAUGUUGGCCGGGCGACGGUU
rnacentral:rRNA from 1 species